rnacentral:rRNA from 1 species
UACAGGAGGUGCGUAGUCGUUGAUUCGGAAUUAUUGGGCGUAAAGCGCGUGUAGGCGGUCUUCCAAGUCAGUGGUGAAAGCCCGGAGCUCAACUCCGGAACUGCCAUUGAAACUGUUGGACUUGAGUACGAGAGAGGUGAGUGGAAUUCCCAGUGUAGAGGUGAAAUUCGUAGAUAUUGGGAAGAACACCGGUGCGAAGGCGGCUCACUGGCUCGUAACUGACGCUGAGGCGCGAAAGCGUGGGGAGCAAACAGGG